rnacentral:tRNA from 1 species
GUGGUUUCAGCUUGAUUUAUUACCGCCUUGUAAGCGGUAGGUCGUCAGUUCGAAUCCGACAAGCGGCACCA